UAAUACAGAGGGGGCAAGCGUUGUUCGGAAUUACUGGGCGUAAAGGGCUCGUAGGCGGCCAACUAAGUCGGACGUGAAAUCCCUCAGCUUAACUGGGGAACUGCGUCCGAUACUGGAUGGCUUGGAUUUGGGAGAGGGAUGCGGAAUUCCAGGUGUAGCGGUGAAAUGCGUAGAUAUCUGGAGGAACACCGGUGGCGAAGGCGGCAUCCUGGACCAAUAUUGACGCUGAGGAGCGAAAGCUAGGGGAGCAAACGGGAUUAGAUACCCCGGUAGUCCUAGCCCUAAACGAUGAAUGCUUGGUGUGGCGGGUAUCGAUCCCUGCCGUGCCGAAGCUAACGCAUUAAGCAUUCCGCCUGGGGAGUACGGUCGCAAGGCUG
rnacentral:rRNA from 1 species